CAAUACGGUUUUCAAAUUUUAGAUUUAACUAUUGAAAACUAGCUUUAUCUAGAGAUUGGGCAUUUCCGGCAACAAAAUGUAUUCUGUAUUCAUUAAUAUUUAUAAGGUUCACGAUUAAUUUCACAAUAUAGUAUAUUCUUAUUGAACAUUCAAGACUGCAAAUGGAAAGACAAUUUCAUUUAUUGACGGGAAAACUUUAGAUGUCCGAACCCUUUUGGAUACGACAGUAGUAAACCGCACGUGUUGCUCGACCGUAAGGUGCUAUGAACUGAGUUUUCUCAUCAAACAAAUACACUUUUGUCGUCAUAGCUCAGCAAAAUCCCUGAGGUAGAACGUGGUUUUCGUUUUAAAAAUAUGUCGUAAAAAUAUGUUUUAUAACUCUUAGAAACAUCCCAAAAGUGUGAGAAAACACCAACCGUAAACACCUCAUGGGACUAAUAAGGCGCCACGUGUUGCCUAGUUUUUUCAUAAGGAUGUCCAAAUAAAUAUCUAUCGAACUGGUUCCACAGGGACAGUGACUACUGAGGUCCUUCCGAUGGUCAUCAUUCACUCAGGACUUUGGUUUUUUUUAUUUUAUUAUUCACACCAAAGAAUAAUAAUAAUAAAAAAAAAAACAUAGAUCGUUCUCUUUUCCCCUAAUUUUUUGUGAGCUCAUCAUCAGGAAGUGCACCGACCGGUAGCCACACAUAUCAAUGGCCAGUCACAAUAGAGAUCGUCCAUUAAUUUCGCUUCUAAUUUAAUUAACAAUGGGCAACUGAAGAGAAAAUAACAACGAAAUGAAACCGCGUGUUCAACUAUCGUAUAUGCUUUAAAAAAAACUGGCGUUUUAUAAUGGUUAGCCUUUAUGAACUACAUAAAAAAGAAAACCGGACAGAAACCUUAUAUUUUUCAUGAAUCAUUGUAAAAAAAAAGGUACAAAUUCAAACCCUAAUUUUUGCAAAGUUUUUUUUAUGAAUACUCUUUUUCCCGACGACUAAUUAACUUUAUUGUCAGUAUGACCAUAACUAUUGCUUUUUACCGCACACAAAAAGCAUUAAAUUGAAAAUGAUAAUUGAUAUCGAAUAGAAUAAGGCUUUUAGGUGUCUGAUCAGGUAUACAUUCUGACACUUGCAUAAUAAAGCAUUGUACUAAUAAAACAUUUUUAAAUAUUUAAAAGUACUAAAGUUACAAAAAAACCAUUGUCUAUCACAUACUUUAACUAUACCAAAUACUGUAUAAAAACGUACGAAUUUAA